ACGCUCGACACCUACGGGAGGCAGCAGUGAGGAAUAUUGGUCAAUGGGCGCUAGCCUGAACCAGCCAAGUAGCGUGAAGGAUGAAGGCUCUAUGGGUCGUAAACUUCUUUUAUAUAAGAAUAAAGUGCAGUAUGUAUACUGUUUUGUAUGUAUUAUAUGAAUAAGGAUCGGCUAACUCCGUGCCACAGCCGCGGUAAUCUGAGCGGCUGGCAAGGC
rnacentral:rRNA from 1 species